UUUCUAGGGUAGCGAACUGAAAGGGCGCUAUUUCUGCGCACUGGCUCUCAUGCCCUGCACCGGCCAUGCUCCUGGCCUUCGCGGUGGGCCUGGUGUUUGCAGGCUGCUGCAGUAAUGUGAUCUUCCUAGAGCUGCUGGCCCGGACACAUCUAGGAUGCGGGAACAUUGUCAUGUUUGCGCAGUUCUUAUUUAAUGCUGUGGAAGGCUUCCUUUUUGAAGCUGACUUGGGAAGGAAGCCACCAGCUAUCCCAAUAAGGUACUAUGCCAUCAUGGUGACCAUGUUCUUCACUGUCAGCGUGGUGAACAUCUAUGCCCUGAAUCUGAACAUCGCCAUUCCUCUGCAUAUGAUAUUCAGAUCAGGCUCUCUGAUUGCCAACAUGAUUCUAGGAAUUUUCAUUUUGAAGAAAAGAUACAGUAUGUUCAAGUAUACCUCCAUUGCCCUAGUGUCUGCAGGGAUAUUUAUUUUCACUUUCAUGUCAGCAAAGCAGGAGACUGUCCAGUCUGGCUUUAGUGACAAGGACGGAUUCCAGGCCUUUGCGUGGUGGUUACUAGGUAUUGUGCCACUGACCUUCGCUCUGCUGAUGUCAGCAAGAAUGGGCAUCUUCCAGGAGACUCUGUACAGACAGUUUGGGAAACAUUCCAAGGAGGUGUUAUUUUAUAAUCAUGCCCUUCCACUUCCUGGUUUCAUCUUCUUGGCCUCUGAUAUUUAUGACCACGUUGUUCUGUUCAAUAAGUCUGAACUCUAUCAAGUUCCAGUCAUCGGUGUGACAAUGCCCAUCAUGUGGUUCUACCUCCUCAUGAACGUUGUGACUCAAUACGUGUGCAUCCGGGGCGUGUUCUUCCUUACAACAGAGUGUGCCUCCCUCACCGUCACACUGGUUGUGACUCUGCGCAAAUUUGUGAGCCUCAUCUUUUCUAUCUUGUACUUCCAGAACCAGUUCACUAGGUGGCACUGGCUGGGCACCUUGUUUGUCUUCAUUGGGACCUUAACGUACACAGAGGUGUGGAAAAACCUAGGGACCACAAAAAGUCAGCUGCAAAAGGAUGACAAGAAGGACUGA